rnacentral:rRNA from 1 species
AUUGAACGCUGGCGGCAGGCUUAACACAUGCAAGUCGAGCGGAGAUGAGGUGCUUGCACCUUAUCUUAGCGGCGGACGGGUGAGUAAUGCUUAGGAAUCUGCCUAUUAGUGGGGGACAACAUUCCGAAAGGAAUGCUAAUACCGCAUACGUCCUACGGGAGAAAGCAGGGGAUCUUCGGACCUUGCGCUAAUAGAUGAGCCUAAGUCGGAUUAGCUAGUUGGUGGGGUAAAGGCCUACCAAGGCGACGAUCUGUAGCGGGUCUGAGAGGAUGAACCGCCACACUGGGAAUGAGACACGCGCCAGCCUCCUACGGGAGGCAGCAGUGGGGAAUAUUGGACAAUGGGGGGACCCCUGAUCCAGGCAUGCCGCGUGUGUGAAGAAGGCCUUAUGGUUGUAUAGCACUUUAAGCGAGGAGGAGGCUACUGAGACUAAUACUCUUGGAUAGUGGACGUUACUCGCAGAAUAAGCACCGGCUAACUCUGUGCCAGCCGCCGCAGUAAGAC